rnacentral:tRNA from 1 species
CAUCAUGAAGCUAUAGAAGCAUCAACCUUUUAAGUUGAAGAUUAGGAACCAAAUCUCCUCAUGAUGA